rnacentral:misc_RNA from 1 species
GAUGAAGAACGCAGUGAAAUGCGAUAAGUAGUGUGAAUUGCAGAAUUCAGUGAAUCAUCGAAUCUUUGAACGCACCUUGCGCCUUUUGGUAUUCCGAAAGGCACACCUGUUUGAGCGUCAUGAAUACCUCAAUCUCCAUCUUUUCUUCGGAUUGAUGGGUGACUUGGAUGUUGAGCCCUGCUGGUAUGCUAUAUCAGCUGGCUUUAAACUUAUUAGCCGGCUCUGUACUGGAUCGGUUUGACUCGACGUGAUAAUAUUAUCGUUGAGGAUGCAUGUCUCAUGCAGCCGGAAAGUAUCAAAGCAGCUUCUAGCUUGCCUUUAGUGCACUUUUACAUUUUAGACCUCAGAUCAGGUGGGACUACCCGCUGAACUUAAGCAUAUAAUAAGCGGAGGA